CCUACGGGGGGCUGCAGUGGGGAAUAUUGGACAAUGGGCGAAAGCCUGAUCCAGCCAUGCCGCGUGUGUGAAGAAGGCCUUCGGGUUGUAAAGCACUUUCAGUGGGGAAGAAAGCCUUGGGGCUAAUACCCUCGAGGAAGGACAUCACCCACAGAAGAAGCACCGGCUAACUCCGUGCCAGCAGCCGCGGUAAUACGGAGGGUGCGAGCGUUAAUCGGAAUUACUGGGCGUAAAGCGCGCGUAGGCGGUCUGAUAAGCCGGUUGUGAAAGCCCCGGGCUCAACCUGGGAACGGCAUCCGGAACGGUCAGGCUAGAGUGCAGGAGAGGAAGGUAGAAUUCCCGGUGUAGCGGUGAAAUGCGUAGAGAUCGGGAGGAAUACCAGUGGCGAAGGCGGCCUUCUGGACUGACACUGACGCUGAGGUGCGAAAGCGUGGGUAGCAAACAGGAUUAGAUACCCGAGUAGUC
rnacentral:rRNA from 1 species